UACGUAGGCAGCAAGCGUUGUUCGGAAUUAUUGGGCGUAAAGAGCGUGUAGGCGGCCAAGCAGGUCAGCUGUGAAAACUCGAGGCUCAACCUCGAGACGUCGGUUGAAACCGCUUGGCUAGAGUCCGGAAGAGGAGAGUGGAAUUCCCGGUGUAGCGGUGAAAUGCGCAGAUAUCGGGAAGAACACCCGUGGCGAAGGCGGCUCUCUGGGACGGUACUGACGCUGAGACGCGAAAGCGUGGGGAGCGAACAGG
rnacentral:rRNA from 1 species